AUCCAUGGAGCAAAGAAGAAAUUGGCACGGAUUGGGUGGUAAUAUUCACGACGAACAGCUUCAAAGUAGAGAAUUACCUUGAGAAGAUAGAUGGAAGCUACAAUGGCUACAAGAGCAAGAGAGAUACACCAUAGGACAAGAUUUACAUUCGGGCUAAUGUGGAGAAAUUUUGUGGAGGCAGAGUUGGCCAGGGUUUUCCACAUGAUUG
rnacentral:misc_RNA from 1 species